AUACGGAGGGUCCGAGCGUUAAUCGGAAUUACUGGGCGUAAAGCGUACGUCGGUGGCUUGAUUAGUCGGAUGUGAAAGCCCUGGGCUCAACCUGGGAACUGCAUUCGAUACUGUCAGGCUAGAUUAUAGUAGAGGGAAGUGGAAUUCCGGGUGUAGCGGUGAAAUGCGUAGAUAUCCGGAGGAACACCAGUGGCGAAGGCGGCUUCCUGGACUAAUACUGACACUGAGGUACGAAAGCGUGGGGAGCAAACAGGAUUAGAAACCCGAGUAGUCC
rnacentral:rRNA from 1 species